UAGCGAUGGGGAUGCAAGGAGAAGCUGCUGUGGUUUCAAGGGGCCGUGAGGAUGCCCACCAUGAAGGCGUGUCUGGGAUGAUGGAGGUGAUAUCCGCCAGGUCCCCGUUGCCGUCGACUGGCGGCGGCCACCGUCUCCUCUUCCAUGGCGUCGUCGGGGCCUUCCCCUGCCAAGCGUAGCGGCUCCUUGGCUGGAUCACCGUCGCACACCUCACCGGCGUGGUCGGCAAGAUCUGCAUCUCGAUCCUCGCCACUCUCCAUCCUCUUGCAGGUUUAUAAAUUUCGAAAUAUAGUUGCAGCUUCACGGAAUGGACGGCCCAAAUUAUGUUAGUGUCUAUAUGUUUACUUGGUGGUGGUCUAGCGUGAGUGACACCUGCAUCUGUAACUUACCCAUUGGAUGUUCUUCGAAAUCACCUGACAACACAGAAAACCACUAGGUAUUACAAGGGCAUCUUUCACACGUUGUCUACAAUUUGUAGAGAAGAGAAUAGUAGAGGAUUGUAUAAAGGCCUUUGGUCCACCUUAUUGGGAGUUGGACCUGAUAUAUCAAUCAACGUUUAUGUAUAUGAAUCCUUGAGGUCUCAUUGGAAAAUGGAAAGUUGAAUGUCAAACUGUGCGACCAAUGAUUUGAUAUGGUACCUCCCUCUUCUCUCUUCUAUGAACCCUAUAA